rnacentral:rRNA from 1 species
GAUGAACGCUGGCGGCGUGCCUAAUACAUGCAAGUCGAGCGAACAGACGAGGAGCUUGCUCCUCUGACGUUAGCGGCGGACGGGUGAGUAACACGUGUAUAACCUACCUAUAAGACUGGGAUAACUUCGGGAAACCGGAGCUAAUACCGGAUAACAUGUUGAACCGCAUGGUUCAACAGUGAAAGACGGUCUUGAUGUCACUUAUAGAUGGAUCCGCGCCGCAUUAGCUAGUUGGUAAGGUAACGGCUUACCAAGGCAACGGUGCGUAGCCGACCUGAGAGGGUGAUCAGCCACACUGGAACUGAGACACGGUCCAGACUCCUACGGGAGGCAGCAGUAGGGAAUCUUGGGCAAUGGGCGCAAGCCUGACGGAGCCACGCCGCGUGAGUGAAGAAGGUCUUCGGAUCGUAAAACACUUUUGUUAGGGAAGAAAACAUGUGUAAGUAAAUAUGCACGUCUUGACGGUACCGAAUCAGAAAGCCACGGCUAACUACGUG